GGAGCUGUUACAGACUAACCAUAACACCCUAUUCUCCAUACACCCUACACUACUUGGAGGUAAAGGAGAAAGCAGUUUGUUUGUUUGAUUUUAACUUGUCUUUAUUUUUCACUAUUCAGCUCUAUUCUUAACAGCCAAGAGAGACCUCUUACCCAGCAUCUGAUCUUUACAGCAAGUGAAAUGUCACUAAUUUCAGUGGAAUUAGCUUGGUGUAACUCAGCAAGGAUUUUGCUUCAUGGCCACAGUGAAACUACACAGAAUGAACACAAAGGUGAAGAGUGAUCUAACACUAUUAAAUAACAGCACAGAAGAACACCUACAAGGUGUAUUUGCAAA
rnacentral:lncRNA from 1 species